UUGCCUACGGGAGGCAGCAGUAGGGAAUUUUCGUCAAUGGGCGCAAGCCUGAACGAGCAAUGCCGCGUGAACGAGGAAGGUCUUCGGAUCGUAAAGUUCUGUUGAAGGGGAAAAAGAGCGGAGAGAGGAAAUGGUCUCCGAUUGAUAUUACCCUUCGAGGAAGUCACGGCUAACUACGUGCCAGCAGCCGCGGUAAUACGUAGGUGGCGAGCGUUAUCCGGAAUGAUUGGGCGUAAAGGGUGCGCAGGCGGUCCUGCAAGUCUGGAGUGAAACGCAUGAGCUCAACUCAUGCAUGGCUUUGGAAA
rnacentral:rRNA from 1 species